rnacentral:rRNA from 1 species
GACGAACGCUGGCGGCGUGCUUAACACAUGCAAGUCGUACGGUAAGGCCCUUUCGGGGGUACACGAGUGGCGAACGGGUGAGUAACACGUGAGUAACCUGCCCACAACUUUGGGAUAACGCUAGGAAACUGGUGCUAAUACUGGAUAUGUGUUCCUGCUGCAUGGGGGGGGUUGGAAAGCUCCGGCGGUUGUGGAUGGACUCGCGGCCUAUCAGCUUGUUGGUGGGGUAGUGGCCUACCAAGGCGGCGACGGGUAGCCGGCCUGAGAGGGUGACCGGCCACAUUGGGACUGAGAUACGGCCCAGACUCCUACGGGAGGCAGCAGUGGGGAAUAUUGCACAAUGGGCGCAAGCCUGAUGCAGCAACGCCGCGUGCGGGAUGACGGCCUUCGGGUUGUAUACCGCUUUCAGCAGGGACGAAGCUUUUUGUGACGGUACCUGCAGAAGAAGCACCGGCUAACUACGUG